rnacentral:rRNA from 1 species
UACGAAGGGGGCAAGCGUUGUUCGGAUUUAUUGGGCGUAAAGGGCGCGUAGGCGGUCAUGUAAGUCAGAUGUGAAAUUCCGGGGCUCAACCUCGGACCUGCAUUUGAAACUACAAGACUAGAGGGUAGGCGGAGAAAACGGAAUUCCACAAGUAGCGGUGAAAUGCGUAGAUAUGUGGAAGAACACCGGUGGCGAAGGCGGUUUUCUAGCUUAUACCUGACGCUGAGGCGCGAAAGCAAGGGAAUCAAACAGG